AGGCUGCACAGGGCUUUGGGGGAGUCCACCCUCUUGGGAUCCAAGUCAGGUUGCCAUGACAACCACUGCAGGCCUACUGGUUGCCAUGGAGACCCAGUGUGCAGCUGGAUGGGCCUUGGCAGCUGCCCUUUCCUUCGCCUGGAAUGCUGUGUUCUGAGCUCUACAUCUCCAGGUUUCCUCAGAUAAGCUACUCAGGCCACAUUCCAAGAGACAGUAGGGAUCAUGCCUGUCUAAUUCAGUGCUGUAAUGCCAGCACCUGGCACCGGGCCUACCACAUAGUAGGUGCUAAAUAUGUGUUCAGUAAAAGAAUGGACAAAUUCUUUCACUGAAGUGCCACAAGAAUCCUCGGUGAUGGUGAGCAUUAUUAUUCCCAUUUUACAGAUGAAGAAAUGAAGGCUCAGUCACCUGCCCAAGGUCAUACCACUAGGAAGCAGUACAGCCAGAUUUCUAAUGUAAGUCUCUGAUUCCAGAUGUGAGGGAAGGAGGUAGGGACCAUCUUUCCUAACCUUCAGUGCACCUGGCUCCUGUUCCUGUUUGUCUGUGGGUGUCUCUACUCCCAUCCCAGGCAUCCCCACAGAAACCUGUGCAGAAAAGCGAGAAGGACAGUUAAAACCUGUAAAGAAUGUGAAUUUGGGGCACCCGGGUGACUCAGUUGGUUAAGCGUCUGACUUCGGCUCAGGUCAUGAUCUCAUGGUUCGUGGGUUCGAGCCCCAGACAGACUUUGUGCUGACACCUCAGAGCCUGGAGUCUAUUUUGGAUUGUGUGUCUCCCUCUCUCUGCCCUUGCCCUGCUCUCUCUCAAAAAUAAACAAACAAACAAACAAACAGAACAAAAGAAUGUGAAUCUGACCUUUUUUUCUAGGAUCUCUCAAUGGCUCCUCUUUCCCUCCCUCCUUAAGUUGACCAGCAGGGCCUUCUAAUUCUGCACCACCACCAUCCCCCUUCCUUUUCAA